rnacentral:tRNA from 1 species
GCAGUGGUGAUUCAGUGGUAGAAUUCUCACCUUCCACGCGGGAGACCGGGGUUUGAUUUCUGGCCAAUGCG